rnacentral:rRNA from 1 species
AUUGAACGCUGGCGGAAUGCUUUACACAUGCAAGUCGAACGGUAGAGGGGGCAACCCCUCGAGAGUGGCGAACGGGUGAGUAAUAUAUCGGAACGUGCCCAGUCGUGGGGGAUAACGUAGCGAAAGUUACGCUAAUACCGCAUACGAUCUAAGGAUGAAAGCGGGGGAUCGCAAGACCUCGCGCGAUUGGAGCGGCCGAUAUCAGAUUAGGUAGUUGGUGGGGUAAAGGCUCACCAAGCCAACGAUCUGUAGCUGGUCUGAGAGGACGACCAGCCACACUGGAACGGAGACACGGUCCAGACUCCGACGGGAGGCAGCAGUGGGGAAUUUUGGACAAUGGACGCAAGUCUGAUCCAGCCAUUCCGCGUGCAGGAUGAAGGCCCUCGGGUUGUAAACUGCUUUUGUACGGAACGAAAAGGUCUCUCUUAAUACGGGGGACUCAUGACGGUACCGUAAGAAUAAGCACCGGCUAACUACGUGCCAGCCGCCGCAGUAAUAC